UGAGCGUCGGUUGGUGUUUG
rnacentral:miRNA from 1 species